rnacentral:rRNA from 1 species
CCUACGGGUGGCAGCAGUGGGGAAUAUUGCACAAUGGGGGAAACCCUGAUGCAGCGACGCCGCGUGAGUGAGGAAGUAUUUCGGUAUGUAAAGCUCUAUCAGCAGGGAAGAAAAUGACGGUACCUGACUAAGAAGCCCCGGCUAACUACGUGCCAGCAGCCGCGGUAAUAGGUAGGGGGCAAGCGUUAUCCGGAUUUAUUGGGUUUAAAGGGUGCGUAGGCGGAAUAUCAGGUCAGCGGGAAAAAUUUGGGGCUCACCCCCGUCGUGCCGUUGACACUGAUGUUCUUGAGUGGGCGAGAAGUAUGCGGAAUGCGUGGUGUAGCGGUGAAAUGCAUAGAUAUCACGCAGAACUCCGAUUGCGAAGGCAGCAUACCGGCGCCCAACUGACGCUGAAGCACGAAAGCGUGGGUAUCGAACAGGAUUAGAUACCCGUGUAGUC